CUGUGUAUAGCCUUGGCUGUCUUGGAGCCUUGGACUCUGUCUGUAGACCAGGCUGGCCUUGGCUCACAGAGAUCCGCCUGCCUCUGCCUCCCUGAGUGCUGGGAUUAAAGACAUGCACCACCAUGCCCAAAUCCCAGCCUACUUUCAAAGUCAGAUGAGACUGGGCCCAGGCCACUGUGGUUGUAGAUCUUUGUACUGUCUCUGGCUUUACUCUCAGAGGCAUGCUAGCUUUGUAAAAUGAACUGGAAGUGUCCCCUCUUCUAUUUUCUGAAAGAGAGUGUGUAGAAAUUGAGCCGACUCUUCUUUCAACAUUUGGUAAAUUCUCCAGUGAAACCAUCUGGGAUUGGAGACUUCAUUCCUUGAACGCUGCUUCCCCAAAGCCUUGGCCACCUUCUCCAGGGGAUGCCCCACAGAUGGAGUCAGUCUGGACCUCAAACAGAACACCAUCCUGACCAUGCAGGCGGAAACUCAGGGGAUUUCACAGAACAGACAAGCCUUGGCGAUCCCUGAAGUGUCCUGGGGCCAGCUCAGACACUGAAGUCUCGACCUCCCAAGGAUGGGAGGUGCGGCUCUGGGGGAGGUCACUAAGCUCCUGAGUGGGGCAGGCACUCGAGGGUGCCUCUGCUCAGACUUGAUGGAGGAGGGCGGACUGUCCAGUGACUGGAAUCCCAGACUAAUGAAAAGAGAAAAAGGAGAAAGCGGCCACGGACCAGCGUUUUCCCCACCCUCCCCUCACUUCUCAUCCGCUGAGAUUUGAAGAGCCCCAGCUGUAUGCUCCUGCCUCCAUGGUGGCCAUGAUGCCCACAUAGCCCCUUCUUAAACCAGGCCCGGAAGACCUUCCUCCUCCCUUAGGCCAUGCUGCCAGGCAUUUUGUCUCAGCAGGAAGAAGAUAAGAGGACAGUGUGACUCGUGCCCGUAAAGAAGUGGCCACAGAGAGAUCCUCGCCUCCUCCACUCUGAGGACACGGCCAGGAGCACCGCCAAGGAGCCAGAAAACUCGGCAGCAAAUCUGCCUGCAUUUUGAUUUAGGACUUCCAGUUUGCCGAAUGUGGAGAAAUCAUUUCUGUCAUUUGCCAGCCACUUAGCCUAUGUAUUAUAAUGCAAAAACCCAAGUGAACUACAGAGUCAAAAUCGUGGACUUCGGGCCUAGAAUGGACUGACUGAAUAAGCCCUCAUAGGAUGGACUCAAGCAGCCUGGAUCGAGAGAUGUUGUGUGGAGGACGACUGGAUUGUAAACUGAGUCUGUCCGCUCUCACAAACAGGAAAGGAGCUUGGGAAAGCUUGCCGAAGCUUAGUGGCUUAGUGAAGGCGCAGUGAAGAAUCAUAAUCCUAAGCUGUGGUCCCGUGUGUCUGGUGGGUCUGUAAUUCCCUCUGCUUCAAGAUCUCUGCAAACAACGUAGCUGACUUCAGUCUCCCCCUGUAAAAUCGGGAGAGUGCCGCCUGCGUCAUCAGACUGUUGGAAGUCAGGGGUCGUUGCAUUUGAAGGGUUUGCGGCAUAGAAUGACAAUAUCUUGCCACACGUGUGCGCGACCUUCAUCAUCCUCAUCAUCACCCUCAUUGCCUCCACCCCAGAUAUCACAACCACCAUGCCCAGCCAUCUGACCACCACAACCGUCACCACUGUCGCUACUGCCACCGCCAGCAGCAGCACCUCCAUCACAGCUGCUAUUGCCGCUGCUCUCAUCGUCAGCACUGCCAUGGCUGCCAUCAUUGGAAGGAGCAGGACAGAGGAGCAUCCUUUGCACUGAUAUCAGUGUGUAAGUGGUAAUCAGACUAAUUUGAUCAAACCUGGUAAAGGCAAAAGCUAAUAAUAGCAGCAGAUGUGUCAUUAGUUAUUGAAGCCAGUAAAAAAAAAAAAAAAAAAAUCCAAAUAGUGUUUUACACAUUCAUUAUUUUCCUUCUUCAGGGACCAUCAGGGCUCCUCCCCCUCCUUCUUCACUUUCUUCCUCUUUCACCUCUGCAUCCUUAAUGGACCAUGACUAACUGGAAUUCUUUCUGGAAUGAGUAAAAGCUGGGAAGCAGGGGAGAUAGCCCAUAAUGAGACUUUAAAAAUACAUCUCCACAUAGUUGAAAUAGUUCAGUAGCUUCCCAGAGAGGCCAGCUUCUCUGCCAUACUUUAACUAGUCAGUACAACCCUGGGUACUCCAGAGACCAGGACAAUAGGAUUCUGAGGCUCUGAACACCAGGAUUCCAGGAUGCUCACCAGUGCUGGAUAGGCUGUCACUCAUCUCUUCAUCCAGGCAUGGUGUGGAGCUGAAGGACGGAUACUCUUCAACUAUGCUCUGGGGUGAGACUGAUUGGCCUCAGGAAACCCUCUCUCCUAUUCUCCUUCGGGUUCAAUAAAAAACAUACACCUCUAUGUCUCUAAAAGCAACACAGAGGCAAUACAAAAAACAAAAACAAACAAAAAAAACCCAAUUCUUUCCAUAGGACCAGAAAGAAAAUGAAAAUUGCUUUUAGCGGUCAGUGUCUAAAAAUGCUGUGAGAAAGAUUUUCCUGGGAGCCAGUGACAGUGCAGAACUGGGAGAAACCCUGGAGUU